rnacentral:rRNA from 1 species
UACGUAGGGUGCGAGCGUUGUCCGGAAUUAUUGGGCGUAAAGAGCUCGUAGGCGGUCUGUCGCGUCGGUCGUGAAAACUUGGGGCUUAACCCUGAGCUUGCGGUCGAUACGGGCAUGACUGGAGUUCGGUAGGGGAGACUGGAAUUCCUGGUGUAGCGGUGAAAUGCGCAGAUAUCAGGAGGAACACCGGUGGCGAAGGCGGGUCUCUGGGCCGAUACUGACGCUGAGGAACGAAAGCCAGGGUAGCGAACGGG